UUUAAAUUAUUUUUUUGCAUAUCCAAUAAGCGGAGGAAAAGAAACCAACAGGGAUUGCCCUAGUAACGGCGAGUGAAGCGGCAACAGCUCAAAUUUGAAAGCUGGCCUUCGGGUCCGCAUUGUAAUUUGUAGAGGAUGCUUUGGGUGAAACGCCAGUCUAAGUUCCUUGGAACAGGACGUCAUAGAGGGUGAGAAUCCCGUAUGUGACUGGAAAUGUUAACCUAUGUAAAGCUCCUUCGACGAGUCGAGUUGUUUGGGAAUGCAGCUCUAAAUGGGAGGUAAAUUUCUUCUAAAGCUAAAUAUUGGCGAGAGACCGAUAGCGCACAAGUAGAGUGAUCGAAAGAUGAAAAGCACUUUGGAAAGAGAGUUAAAAAGCACGUGAAAUUGUUGAAAGGGAAGCGCUUGCAAUCAGACUUGUUUAAACUGUUCGGCCGGUCUUCUGACCGGUUUACUCAGUUUGGACAGGCCAGCAUCAGUUUCGGCGGCCGGAUAAAGGCUCUGGGAAUGUGGCCUUCACUUCGGUGAAGGUGUUAUAGCCCAGGGUGUAAUACGGCCAGCCGGGACUGAGGUCCGCGCUCGGCUAGGAUGCUGCGUAAGCACGAAG
rnacentral:rRNA from 1 species